CCUACGGGUGGCAGCAGUGAGGAAUAUUGGUCAAUGGGCGAGAGCCUGAACCAGCCAAGUAGCGUGAAGGAUGACUGCCCUACGGGUUGUAAACUUCUUUUAUAAAGGAAUAAAGUGAGGCACGUGUGCCUUUUUGUAUGUACUUUAUGAAUAAGGAUCGGCUAACUCCGUGCCAGCAGCCGCGGUAAUACGGAGGAUGCGAGCGUUAUCCGGAUUUAUUGGGGUUAAAGGGUGCGUAGGGGGUCGGAUAAGUUAGUGGUGAAAUCCUGAGGCUCAACCUUGGAAUUGCCGCUGAUACUGUUCGGCUAGAGAAUAGUUGCGGUAGGCGGAAUGUAUGGUGUAGCGGUGAAAUGCUUAGAGAUCAUACAGAACACCGAUUGCGAAGGCAGCUUACUAAGCUACUUCUGACGUUGAGGCACGAAAGUGUGGGGAUCAAACAGGAUUAGAUACCCUUGUAGUC
rnacentral:rRNA from 1 species